rnacentral:rRNA from 1 species
AGUCGAACGGCAGCGGGGGCUUCGGCCUGCCGGCGAGUGGCGAACGGGUGAGUAAUGCAUCGGAACGUACCCAGUCGUGGGGGAUAACUACGCGAAAGCGUAGCUAAUACCGCAUACGCCCUGAGGGGGAAAGCGGGGGACCUUCGGGCCUCGCGCGAUUGGAGCGGCUGAUGUCGGAUUAGCUAGUUGGUGGGGUAAUGGCUCACCAAGGCGACGAUCCGUAACUGGUCUGAGAGGAUGAUCAGUCACACUGGAACUGAGACACGGUCCAGACUCCUACGGGAGGCAGCAGUGGGGAAUAUUGGACAAUGGGCGAAAGCCUGAUCCAGCCAUGCCGCGUGUGUGAAGAAGGUCUUCGGAUUGUAAAGCACUUUAAGUUGGGAGGAAGGGCAGUUACCUAAUACGUGAUUGUUUUGACGUUACCGACAGAAUAAGCACCGGCUAACUCUGUGCCAGCAGCCGCGGUAAU